UUGAUUUCCCCAGGUUCAUUCAGAAGAGUGCGACGUUAUAUUUCGAUUGAAAGGAAUCUUGGAGUUUGCUUGCCAGCUCGACAACCCAAAUGGUGCACAAAGUCAAGGCACGAUAUCAAAAAGUUUCCAGGGUCUCCAAUCCAAAGUAUCAUCCAAAAAUAUUGUUUUAACUGUCUGUAACAGUCCAGUAUUAAUAUGGCCUAACACUGGUUUCCAGUCAAACGUGGAAAGCUUGACAAAAGCAUCAUCAUGUGGAGAUAUUCUGCAGUAUAUAGAGUUAGAUGAUAGUGGGACCAAGAAGUCAUCAAAAAAGAAAGAUAAGAAAAAAUCUGGACCUACUGUAGUGAAUAUGAAGCUGUUGUUUGAGGUCACAGAACCUGCUGGGAAUGAAGCUCCUAGUCUCAUCAGAGUGAGCACACAGCAGCAUUGUGUGAAGAUGCCACUGCCUUUAGACUGUGUUCUGUCUGUGACCACUGAUGAGAGCCUGGC